AUUAGAGUUUGAUUAUGGCUCAGGAUGAACGCUGGCGGCGUGCCUAACACAUGCAAGUCGAACGGAGACGGAGCUGGAAGGGACAGUUUACUGUAACGGAAAGAUCUGUCUUAGUGGCGGACGGGUGAGUAACGCGUGGGCAACCUGCCCUGUACCGGGGGAUAACACUUAGAAAUAGGUGCUAAUACCGCAUAAUAGGGAAUACCGCAUGGUAAUCCUUUGAAAACUCCGGUGGUACAGGAUGGGCCCGCGUCUGAUUAGCCAGUUGGCGGGGUAACGGCCCACCAAAGCGACGAUCAGCAGCCGGCCUGAGAGGGUGGACGGCCACACUGGGACUGAGACACGGCCCAGACUCCUACGGGAGGCAGCAGUGGGGAAUAUUGCACAAUGGGGGGAACCCUGAUGCAGCGACGCCGCGUGAGUGAAGAAGUAUUUCGGUAUGUAAAGCUCUGUCAGGANGGAAGAAAAAAGACGGUACCUGACCCAGAAGCCCCGGCUAACUACGUGCCAACAGCCGCGGUAAUACGUAGGGGGCAAGCGUUAUCCGGAUUUACUGGGUGUAAAGGGAACGUAAACGGCAGGGCAAGUCUGGAAUGAAAGGCAAGGGCCCCACCCCUGGACUGCUCCUGGAAACUGCCCGGUGGGAUGCGAGAAAAGGAAAUGGAAUUCCUAUUGUACCCGUGAAAUGCUUAAUAUUUAGAAGAAACACCAUUGCCGAAGGCGGGUUACUGGCAUGUAACUUAAAUUUUA
rnacentral:rRNA from 1 species